AAGGAUCAUUACAGAGUUCAUGCCCUCACGGGUAGAUCUCCCACCCUUGAAUAUUAUACCUUAGUUGCUUUGGCAGGCCGGGGCAACCCCCGGGGCUUCGGCCUUGGUGUGCCUGCCAGAGGAAACAAACUCUGUUUUUAGUGAUGUCUGAGUACUAUAUAAUAGUUAAAACUUUCAACAACGGAUCUCUUGGUUCUGGCAUCGAUGAAGAACGCAGCGAAAUGCGAUAAGUAAUGUGAAUUGCAGAAUUCAGUGAAUCAUCGAAUCUUUGAACGCACAUUGCGCCCCGUGGUAUUCCGCGGGGCAUGCCUGUUCGAGCGUCAUUUCAACCCAUCAAGCUUCGGCUUGGUCUUGGGGCCUGCGAUUCCGCAGCCUCUAAACCCAGUGGCGGUGCCUCGGAGCUCUGAGCGUAGUAAUUCUUCUCGCUAUAGGGUCUCGGUGGUGUCUUGCCAGUAACCCCCAAUUUUUUACAGGUUGACCUCGGAUCAGGUAGGGAUACCCGCUGAACUUAAGCAUAUCAAUAAGCGGAGGAAAAGAAACCAACAGGGAUUACCUCAGUAACGGCGAGUGAAGCGGUAACAGCUCAAAUUUGAAAUCUGCCGCAAGGCCGAGUUGUAAUUUGUAGAAGAUGCUUUGGGUAUGGCCCCGGUCUAAGUUCGUUGGAACACGACGUCAUAGAGGGUGAGAAUCCCGUAUGUGACUGGGUGCUUUUGCCUAUGUAAAGCUCUUUCGACGAGUCGAGUUGUUUGGGAAUGCAGCUCAAAAUGGGUGGUAUAUUUCAUCUAAAGCUAAAUAUUGGCCAGAGACCGAUAGCGCACAAGUAGAGUGAUCGAAAGAUGAAAAGCACUCUGGAAAGAGAGUUAAACAGUACGUGAAAUUGUUGAAAGGGAAGCGCUUGCAACCAGACUUGCACGCUGUUGAUCAUCCAGGCUUCUGUCUGGUGCACUCGGCAGCGUUCAGGCCAGCAUCGGUUCUGGUGGUGGGAUAAAGGCCUUGGGAAUGUAGCUUCUUUCGGGGAGUGUUAUAGCCCUCGGUGCAAUGCCGCCUAUCGGGACCGAGGACCGCGCUUCGGCUAGGAUGCUGGCGUAAUGGUUGUAAGCGACC
rnacentral:rRNA from 1 species